rnacentral:lncRNA from 1 species
GGGGACUCGGGGGAAAAUGGACUGAGGGGACUCAGGGGAAAAUGGACUGAGGAUACUCUCGGAGGAUGAACUGAGGAUACUCGCGGAGGAUGCACUGAGGAUACUCGGGGGAGGACGGACUGAGGGGAUUCGGGGAGAAUGGACUGAGGGGACUUGGGGGAAAAUGGACUGAGGGGACUCGAGGGAAAAUGGACUGAGGGGACUCGCGGAGGAUGCACUGAGGAUACUCGCGGAGGAUGCACUGAGGAUACUCGCGGAGGAUGGACUGAGGUUACUCGCGGAGGAUGGACUGAGGAUACUCGCGGAGGAUGGACUGAGGAUACUCGGGGGAAAAUGGACUGAGGGGACUCGGGGGAAAAUGGACUGAGGAUACUCGGGGGAAAAUGGACUGAGGGGACUCGCGGAGGAUGAACUGAGGAUACUCGCGGAGGAUGGACUGAGGAUACUCGCGGAGGAUGGACUGAGGAUACUCGGGGGAAAAUGGACUGAGGGGACCCGGGGGAGGAUAGACUCAGGAUACUCAGAGAGGAUGGACUGAGGGGACUCGGGGGAGGAUGGAUUCAGGAUACUCAGAGAGGAUGGACUGAGGGGGCUCGGGGGAGGAUGGACUCAGGAUACGCAGAGAGGAUGGACUGAGGGGACUCAGGGGAGGAUGGACUGAGGAUACUUGGGAGAGGAUGGACUGAGGAUAUUCGGAGAGGAUGGACUGAGGGGACUCGGGAGAGGAUGGACUGAGGAUACUCGGAGAGGAUGGACUGAGGGGACUUGGGGGAGGAUGGACUCAGGAUACUGAGAGAGGAUGGACUGAGGGGACUCAGGGCAGGAUGGACUGAGGAUACUAGCGGAAGAUGGACUGAGAAGACUCGGGGAAGAGUGGACUGAGGAUACUCGCGGAGGACGGACUGAGAAGACUCGGGGGACGAUGCACUGAGGAUACUCGUGGAGGAUGGACUGAGAAGACUCAGGGAGGAUGGGCUGAAGAUACUCGGGGAGGAUGCACUGAGGAUACUUGGAGAGGAUGGACUGAGAGGACUCGGGGAAGAAUGGACUGAGGGGACUCGGAGAGGAUGGAUUGAGGAUACUCUGGGGAGGAUGCACUGAGGGCGCUCUGGGAAGGAUGAACUGAGGAGACUCAUGAAUAGUCUCCCACUACUCUAUCAGAGAUAACCACAUUUUAGCAAACACUCCGUUGGAGUCACCCCAUGCACACAUGUGUACAUGCAGCCAAGCCUUUUCCCACGCUAUUAGCUGGUGCAAGUUCCAUCCCUGGAUUUUAAGCAUGGGUCGCCUGGAAGAGCUUUGUUAGAGGAAGAAGAAAGAGGUGUAUCUCAGGAAAAUCCUGGUUCCCAAAGUUGCACAUUAUGUCAGAUGUACCUGUCUUUGACGGCUGGGAGAGCGGACAAGACCCUGCCCCAGCCCUGGCCAGGAAUGGUGGCUGGUGAGCCCCUAGUUGCAGGCAACCUGGACCUGUCCUCGCGGCACCUGAAGAGGGGAAAGGAGACUUGAGGAGAAUGACUGUCCCCAGGCGACCGCCCAUGAACACCUGAGCACCCAUCUGAUAAACAGCCUGGAGUCACUGGAGAGUGACAGCUUCCAUGUAUAUUCAUAUAUGCUCACCAUUAUUUUUCAUAACCACAUCACAUUGCAUCAUUUUAAUGUAUCAUAAUUUUCUCAACCAGCCCCAUCCAGAAGCUUCUUAACCCAAUCUCUUUCUAAGGCCCUCCAAAGGGCUGGAAGAGGGAGCAUCUUUAUUUUGCUGCUGCCAUCAGGGGUCUUGGGAGAGUCCCCUUGGAUCCUGAUUUUUCAGGGCUUGAUACCUGAGAAUAACUGACAGAAAUUUUGAGAACUGUGCCCCCAGUAAUAACAAUAAUUAACAUUGUUUUCAGUACUCUGGGCCAGGCACUGUUCUAAGCACUUUGUACAUAUUAUCUAAGUGACUCUUCACAACAACAACCUUCUGAGGGAGUUCAGCAUGCCCUGCCAAAUCUUACCCAUAGAACAGAUGCCUGUGGCGCUGCGGUGGUGCCCAACAGCUCUGAGUUUCAGCCUCUUCUUCCUGGGACUUAACCUCUCACUCUCCACUGCUGUCCUUUGAACACACAGGAGUAAAUUGGUGAGCACCAUUCAUUCAAAUGCACGGUGAGAAGUGUAGUGGGGAGAUGCAAAAGAAGAAUGAAAUAGCCCACAGAAGAUUUCCACACAAGCUGAUAAAUAUACACCUGUGGUUCUCGUUAACCACAGGAGUCAGUGUGGCCCUGUGUGAUAUAAUAAAGAAUAAACCUUUGGUCUCUGCCCCUAGUUCCUGGCACCGUGCUCCUGAAACCCUUGUACUUUCCUAAGUGAUAGUCGUGCUAGGAGCAUCUUUUGUUCUAAUAUUUAGUCUUUGACCUUGGUUCCUGACACAGAGCUCCUAAAUCCCUUGGAAUUUCCUGGAUAAUAGGUGCAUCUUUUGUUCUAAUGAGGUGACUCUUGGUGGGCCCCUGGAUGGGGGCUGCUCACUAGAAAGACCUCAGCAUGAUCAGAGGCUCGGAACAUUCAGCCCCACCCCCAUCCCCAGGGAGGGGAGAGGAGUUGGAUAUUAAAUUAAUAAUUGAUUCUGCCUUUGUGAUGAAGCCGCCAUAAAAAUCCCUCAAGCACAGGGUGUGGAGGGAUUCUGUGCAGGUGAACACAUCCAUGAACCAGGAGGGUGGUGCCCCCCAACUCCACUGGAACAGAAGCUCCUGUGCUGGGGACCCUCCAGCCCUCGCCCUAUGCAUCUCCCCUUCCGGCAGCUCAUCUGUGUUUUUAUCUAUCCUCUAGGAUAGAAUAAACUGGUAAAUGUGUUCCCCUGUGUUCUGCGAGCUGUUGUAAGAAAUUAUCAAGCAAAAGGGGUUGUGGGAACCCCAGUUUAUAGCCAGUCGUGGGUCAGAAGUACAGGUGGCAAGUUGGGGCCUGCAGUUGGCAUCUGAAGUGGGGGCAUCUUAUGAGUUCUUAACUUGUGGAUCCCUCACUAACUCCAAGUAGAUAGUGUUAGAGCUGAAUGGAAUUGUGGGACACACAUUUGUUGUCUGCAGAGAAUUGGAGAAGUGCUUGGUGUGGGAAAUCACUUACAUAUUUGGUGUCAGAAAUGUUGAGAAUAUAGAGAAAAACUGUUU